rnacentral:rRNA from 1 species
UGAAUGCAUCAGGAGGGCUAAGAAUGCUAGUCGUGCGCUUCUAGCCCGAUGGAGGCGCGGAUACAGCUCAGUAGCACGUGGCUAACCUGCCCUUGGGACGGAAACAACCCCGGGAAACUGGGGUCAAUUUCCGAUAGGUGAAGAUACCUGGAAUGGUUUUUUGCCCAAAAGACGUUUGGGUCAUGCUUCUAGACGUUGCCCAAGGAUGGGGCCGCGGCCGAUCAGGCUGUUGGUGAGGUAAUGGCUCACCAAACCUUUGACCGGUUCGGGCCGUGGGAGCGGUAGCCCGGAGAUGGGCACUGAGACAAGGGCCCAGGCCCUACGAGGCGCAGCAGUCGCGAAAACUUCGCAAUAAGCGAAAGCUUGACGGGGCCAUCCCGAGUGCCAUCUGCUGAGGAUGGCUUUUACCCAGUAUAGAUAGCUGGGGGAAUAAGAAGAGGGCAAGUCUGGUGUCAGCCGCCGCGGUAAUACCAGCUCUCCGAGUUGUGGGGACGUUUAUUGAGCCUGAAGCAUCCGUAGCCGGCUGGGCUAGUCCCCUGUUAAAUCCAGCGAUAAAUCGUUGGCCUGCGGGGGAUACUGCUCGGCUAGGGGGCGGGAGAGGCCGUCGGUAUUCUUGGGGUAGGGGUGAAAUCCUAUAAUCCCAGGAGGACCACCAGUGGCGAAGGCUGUCGGCUAGAACGCGCUCGACGGUGAGGGAUGAAAGCUGGGGGAGCGAACCGGAUUAGAUACCCGGGUAGUCCCAGCUGUAAACGAUGCAGGCUAGGUGUUAGGGCGGCUACGUGCCGCUCUAGUGCCGCAGGGAAGCUGUUAAGCCUGCCGCUUGGGGAGUACGCCGCAGCUGAAACUUAAAG